rnacentral:misc_RNA from 1 species
AAAAAAAAAAAUAGAAAAAGGGAAAGUUGACAUUAUUUCACUCAAACGUCGCCUUGGUUGCCCCAUGCCUCUCACCUCGGCACUCUCAGGCGCUCGCCUCUUUGAAGUUGACUUGCCUCGCCUUGCCUUGCGCCUUUUGUCUCCUUUAACAACACUGCCUGCAACUCUGUUGACUUUGAGCAUUUUUCUGUACAUUAAUCUAG